GCGGGGAUUACUAUACAAAAAAACGGGGGUUUUGGGUCGGGGCGGUCGGAGCGAAAGAGUGAUUUUCCGCCCGGUGCGAGCGCCUCUUGCGGGUGUGCUGUUUCACUCCACGCUGAAACUCAGUCGACAGAUGCCAUUUUUUCGUACCAUUUUUUCGUAUACCAACUUGAGGGACACUUUUUCACGACACACACGAUUGUUUGAAAGUUGACUUUUCACUAGACGUCAUUUGAAUGUGUAGUUCCUAUCUGCAGCCCCCAGUCCUACAGUGUGCAAAAAUAGACAGUUGAAAACAUCUGCUCAUUGAUGCUAAUCUGCACAAUGCCGGCUUCGUGAAAUUUGCAGCUGUGGACCUUCUUUAGAUGACUCUUGUAUCAUAAAUAUUUCCCUGCUUCAUGGAACAAGGAACAUAGGAUAUCUUAAUGCCAACAAAGUGUCAUUGAACACAUUGUAAAAAGAUGUUGAGAUAUUUGACAAAUCUGUUAUCAUGUUAGUUAAAGUGGCUUUUUUGGUAUUCUUAAAUUAGCAGGAGAAACCUAAAGUUGGAGGAUGAUACAUUUGUUUCUUGUUACCAGUUUUGUAAAACAAAUGCUAAAUUGCUAAAAUGAAACAACAUGUGACCUAUUAGUUAUAAUAAAUUGUUUUCAAAAGUGGAGAUUGAUUCAAAAUCUUCAGCUUCCCAGGCAGAUACCCAACCACAAACCCAUGGGUGAUGGAUGAUGUUCACAGUGGUCAUGACUGUGUUGUAAAUUGGUAUCACUCUUACAAAGCCAAACAGAUUUAGAUCAUGUGUCUACUGUGAAAGAGAUCGUGUGUCUCAAAGAAAACGGCUCUCUCCGUUUGCGACAUCAGAUCUCCCAAGUGUGUCAUUCUGAUCCAGAACUCGUGAAAUGAAGUUGAACGUUUUGAACCAUCUCAGGCCAAAGCUGAAGUUCUAGGUUUGUCGGUUUUUUCUGCUUGUAAACCCACGAUUAAAACUAAUUGAAGUGCAAUUUAUUGUCUUGUUUGCAGAGGUAUUAGAAAAGUCUUCGCUUUUUGGUUAGUUUCUUCGUGGUCUUUAUCUGUGGAUCUGAUGCUCGACUAGGGCUCGGCCCCGUGUCCAAUGGGUAGGUAUUUGGGCAAAUGGGUAGGUCUUCUCGGCAAAAAAAUUGGAUCCGGUGGGUAACGGUUCCUAAGACUUUGUGCCCAC